GCCCUAAUAGCUCAGUGGUAGAGCGCAGCACUCGUAAUGGUAUAAGAUCAUCUACUUUGUGAUAUGCUGAGGCCCACGGUUCAAUCCCGUGUUGGGGCA